AGAAAAUGAAGACCCGGAUAUUGUUAUUUUGAAGAUUCAUGUUCUGGUCUUUAAAACUCAUAAGUAUGGAGAAGGUUCCGCGUGAUGUGAAACUAAGGUUUUCGAAAAAUUUAUUAAAUCGACAAAUGAAGAUCCAGAGACAAGGGAUAAAAAUUAAGAAAUUUAUGAAGUUUAAGAGGUCCAAGUAUCUGCGAAGAGUUGAGAAGAAGAACAAUCUGGAUAAAAACAGAAGAAACGACUGAGAAAGUAACCGACGAAUCAAUUUAAAAUCCAGAGAGUUCAUCAGAAAAUAUGUCUGCUGAGAAUGUAGACCAGUGGAUGAAUGUGGUUAAAGUAAUCAUAACAAUCAUUUGCGAUCAUUUAACUGUGAAUAUUUGAGCUCAGAAUGUUUAGAUAAUGUUUCAGAGUUAAUAAUGUUCUAACUGCCCUCAUAACACUUUCAGUAAGAAUUGAAGCUUCAGAUGAAACAGUUGGUCAUGUAAAAAUGCAGUUAGCUUCAGAAACAAUUUUUUGUGGCGCUGAAAAAUGAGCAAAAGCUACUAAAUUUUUACUAUUUCCUAAUCCCAAUAUUACCGUACUUAAUCAUGAUUGUGUUCUCGGUUUAAUUGAAUUGAUAAUGACAUCUUAAUUCGCUUUAUCGUUUCAAGUUUUGGAGAGGUUGAAAUAACAUGUGAAUUAAAUCAAAUUACCAAUGCUUAAUACAGAACGGAUAAUUCUGACAAAAUGUUAGUAACUUUGACUAAAAAAUUAUCGUUAAUAUCAGUAUUAAUAUAUCGGUUACAGUACCAAUAUUAUUUUUUUAUCCUUUAAAAGUGAAAUUUUAAUCUUUUUUUUUUUUCUUAUUUUUGUAAUUCAGGAUAGACAUAAGUACAUUGCUAUUUUAUAAAAUAUUUAACGAAAUAAUAAAUUUAGAAUUCUAUCACAUUAUAAUAAUAUUUAACAUUUGUUUUGUAUUGUAUUGGUAUUUUUUAUUUCUUAUUUUUAUGAAGAAAAUUAGUUUACAUACGAGUCACGUAUCGGAAAAAGUGAGUAAUAUGAUACAAAAUCUCACAGAAGGCAACCAUGACGCUGAUCUAGACGCAUGCUGGAGGCACUGGUUCAGAAGCCCUCCAAUAAGAGAAAUUUGUAUCCUGUUAAUAUAUUUUCAGCAAUCAUGUAGAACCCAGCUAAUAAAUUACUAUA